rnacentral:rRNA from 1 species
CCUGGCUCAGGAUGAACGCUAGCUACAGGCUUAACACAUGCAAGUCGAGGGGCAGCAUGGUCUUAGCUUGCUAAGACUGAUGGCGACCGGCGCACGGGUGAGUAACACGUAUCCAACCUGCCGUCUACUCUUGGACAGCCUUCUGAAAGGAAGAUUAAUACAAGAUGGCAUCAUGAGUCCGCAUGUUCACAUGAUUAAAGGUAUUCCGGUAGACGAUGGGGAUGCGUUCCAUUAGAUAGUAGGCGGGGUAACGGCCCACCUAGUCUUCGAUGGAUAGGGGUUCUGAGAGGAAGGUCCCCCACAUUGGAACUGAGACACGGUCCAAACUCCUACGGGAGGCAGCAGUGAGGAAUAUUGGUCAAUGGGCGAGAGCCUGAACCAGCCAAGUAGCGUGAAGGAUGACUGCCCUAUGGGUUGUAAACUUCUUUUAUAAAGGAAUAAAGUCGGGUAUGGAUACCCGUUUGCAUGUACUUUAUGAAUAAGGAUCGGCUAACUCCGUGCCAGCAGCCGCGGUAAUACGGAGGAUCCGAGCGUUAUCCGGAUUUAUUGGGUUUAAAGGGAGCGUAGAUGGAUGUUUAAGUCAGUUGUGAAAGUUUGCGGCUCACCCGUAAAAUUGCAGUUGAUACUGGAUAUCUUGAGUGCAGUUGAGGCAGGCGGAAUUCGUGGUGUAGCGGUGAAAUGCUUAGAUAUCACGAAGAACUCCGAUUGCGAAGGCAGCCUGCUAAGCUGCAACUGACAUUGAGGCUCGAAAGUGUGGGUAUCAAACAGGAUUAGAUACCCUGGUAGUCCACACGGUAAACGAUGAAUACUCGCUGUUUGCGAUAUACUGCAAGCGGCCAAGCGAAAGCGUUAAGUAUUCCACCUGGGGAGUACGCCGGCAACGGUGAAACUCAAAGGAAUUGACGGGGGCCCGCACAAGCGGAGGAACAUGUGGUUUAAUUCGAUGAUACGCGAGGAACCUUACCCGGGCUUAAAUUGCAGAUGAAUUACGGUGAAAGCCGUAAGCCGCAAGGCAUCUGUGAAGGUGCUGCAUGGUUGUCGUCAGCUCGUGCCGUGAGGUGUCGGCUUAAGUGCCAUAACGAGCGCAACCCUUGUUGUCAGUUACUAACAGGUUCCGCUGAGGACUCUGACAAGACUGCCAUCGUAAGAUGUGAGGAAGGUGGGGAUGACGUCAAAUCAGCACGGCCCUUACGUCCGGGGCUACACACGUGUUACAAUGGGGGGUACAGAGGGCCGCUACCACGCGAGUGGAUGCCAAUCCCCAAAACCUCUCUCAGUUCGGACUGGAGUCUGCAACCCGACUCCACGAAGCUGGAUUCGCUAGUAAUCGCGCAUCAGCCACGGCGCGGUGAAUACGUUCCCGGGCCUUGUACACACCGCC